UGCCUAUACAAGGACAAAGCAAUCUCCUUUGUAAUAUUACCAUCAAUACCCAACUCUUUCCACUGUGUGGCGCUGCUGGCACACUAGCGCUGGGCUUCAACACAAACCUCUAAAUGUUGUUUCUCAGAAAUUUGUUUUCACCUCUAGCAGUGAAUGGGUAUUUAUCGUUACCUACAGAAAAAAAGGUAAAAACUAUAUUUUAGUUCUAAG